GCAUGCCCGGCCGAGUGGUUAGGAGGUUGUUUGUUAACUAAGAGGUCACCGGUUCGAUCCCCGUUAUGCG
rnacentral:tRNA from 1 species